rnacentral:tRNA from 2 species
GGAGAGGUGGCCGAGUGGUCGAAGGCGCUCCCCUGCUAAGGGAGUAUAUGUCAAAAGCGUAUCGUGGGUUCGAAUCCCAUCCUCUCCGCCA